rnacentral:tRNA from 1 species
CGCGGGGUGGAGCAGCUUGGUAACUCGUCGGGCUCAUAACCCGAAGGUCGUUGGUUCAAAUCCGGCCCCCGCAACCA